UACAGAGAUGGCUAACGUUGCUCGGUAUCAUUGGGCGUAAAGCGCGCGUAGGCGGUCUGGUAAGUUAGAUGUGAAAUUUCGUGGCUUACCCACGGAACCGCGUCUAAUACUGUCAGACUGGAGUGCCGAUAGGGAGAGUGGAACUCCUGGUGGAGCGGUGAAAUGCGUAGAUAUCAGGAGGAACGCCGGUGGCGAAGGCGACUCUCUGGACGGUUACUGACGCUGAGUGUGCGAAAGCUAGGGGA
rnacentral:rRNA from 1 species